ACACAGCACAGAUCUGUAAGGGCUGCCAGCCUGUUGAGGGCUGCCUCAUCCUUGAGCUAUUUAACCUCACCCUGGACAACACAAAACACUAGGGCAGAGGAAAAUCUCUCUCCAUACACCUGGGGCAGCACCUGAUCAGGGGUCACUUGCAUUUCUUAUUUUCUGCCUCCCUUUCUGGCAGGGGUAUAUCCAGCAUCACAACCUCCCUUUGCAGCCACGGGUGAGCAAGGUGAAGGCUGAGACACAUCCAGGCAGGUCUGGAAGCAGCCAGCACCCACUGGGCAUCUCCUCCAACCCCUCUUGUCCUUCACAGGGUGAUGCCAGCCAUGGCUCCUCCACUGUGGUGUGCUCACCAUGAGCAGGUCCCAUGGGCCCCAGGUGGGUCCCACAUGUCCCACAGGCCCCAGGUGGGUCCCAGUGGGUCCCAGAAGGUCCCAAGGACCCCAGGUGGGUCCUAGCAGGUUCUAUGUGCCUCAGGUGGGUCCCAGCAGGUCCCUCAUGCCCCAGGUGGGUCCCAGCAGGUCCCACAUGCCCCAGGUGGGUCCCACAUGUCCCAAGUGCCCCAGGUGGGUCCCAGCAGUUGCCAUGGACCCCAGAUGGCUCCCACCAGGUUUUAUGUGCCCCAGGUGGGUCCCAGAAGGUCCCUCAUGCCCCAGGUGGGUCCCAGCAGGUCCCAUAGGCCCCAGGUGGGUCCCAGCAGGUCCUGAGUGCCCCAGGUGGGUCCCAGUGCCCCAGGUGGGUCCCAGCAGGUCCCAUAGGCCCCAGGUGGGUACCACAUGUCCCACGGGCCCCAGGUGGGUCCC